UGGAUCAAUGAUGACUCCUGGUGGCGUGUGAGCCAUGUACAAUGAACAUGUGUCCGCCUGCGAGGUCCAA